UACGUAGGGAGCAAGCGUUGUCCGGAAUCAUUGGGCGUAAAGCGCGCGUAGGCGGCUCGAUCAGUCUGUUGUGAAAGUCAAAGGCUCAACCUUUGAAUGCCGAUGGAUACUGUCGAGCUAGAGUCCGGAAGAGGCGAGUAGAAUUCCUGGUGUAGCGGUGGAAUGCGCAGAUAUCAGGAGGAACACCAACGGCGAAGGCAGCUCGCUGGGACGGUACUGACGCUAAGGCGCGAAAGCGUGGGGAGCGAACAGG
rnacentral:rRNA from 1 species